rnacentral:rRNA from 1 species
AACGAACGCUGGCGGCGUGCUUAACACAUGCAAGUCGAACGGUGACCUCGAGAGCUUGCUCUCGGGCGAUCAGUGGCGAACGGGUGAGUAACACGUGAGUAACCUGCCCCAGACUCUGGAAUCACCCCGGGAAACCGGAGCUAAUACCGGAUACGAGACGGAGUCGCAUGGCUACCGUCUGGCAAGUUUUUCGGUUUGGGAUGGACUCGCGGCCGAUCAGCUUGUUGGUGAGGUAAUGGCGCACCAAGGCGUCGACGGGUAGCCGGCCUGGGAGGGCGACCGGCCACAUUGGGACUGAGAUACGGCCCAGACUCCUACGGGAGGCAGCAGUGGGGAAUAUUGCACAAUGGGCGGAAGCCUGAUGCAGCAACGCCGCGUGCGGGAUGACGGCCUUCGGGUUGUAAACCGCUUUCAGUAGGGACGAAGCGCAAGUGACGGUACCUACAGAAGAAGCACCGGCUAACUACGUGCCAGCAGCCGCCGUAAUAC